rnacentral:tRNA from 1 species
UCUGAAAUGGCAGAUUAGUGCGACGAAUUUAAGCUUCGUAUAUAAAUUCAUUUUUUUUUAGAA